rnacentral:rRNA from 1 species
UGCGCAGGCGGUUUGAUAAGCCAGAUGUGAAAUCCCCGAGCUCAACUUGGGAACUGCGUUUGGAACUGUCAGACUAGAGUGCGUCAGAGGGGGGUGGAAUUCCGCGUGUAGCAGUGAAAUGCGUAGAUAUUAGGAGGAACACCAGUGGCGAAGGCGACUUUCUGGACUGUAACUGACGCUGAGGCGCGAAAGCGUGGGGAGCAAACAGGAUUAGAUACCCUCGUA